AGUAAACAAAAACAUAAGACCAUAUGUGAAUCUGCGUGCGGAUGUAGCUUUUGCGGCUACGAAAUUAAGCUUUUCGAGUGGUUUAACUCCAAAUUUUUAUUCACCUGAGCUUAUCUUUCGGAAGGAAUGCCUCGCGUCUUCAGGCGAAAAUCAGAUCGCUAAAGUUGGACUUCGAAGCAACUAGCUGCAGCCAGAAGAGAAGUAAAUGAUGGUAUGCUCGUUAAUGCUGCCGCGAUCAAAUACCAAAUCCCUAGAAGUACAUUGAUCAGACGUUUGGCAGCACCUGAAAUGUCUAUGAAAAUGGGGCCGAGGGAGAGAAUUUUCUCUGCGGAACAAAAACGUGAAUUUGUGCGAUAUUUGUUGGACUUGGAAUGUCGGUUUUAUGGCAUUAGAAAAAAAGACGUGUCAAAACUAGCAUAUGAGUUAGCUGAACAAAACUCCAUUGUCCAUCCUUUUAACAAAGUUUAAAAAAGGCAGGACGUGACUGCCUUGACGGAUUUCUAAAGCGAAAUCCAGAAAUAUCAUUCCGAAAACCAGAAGGUGCAUCGGCUGCGCGCGCUCGUAGGUUUACCAAACCAGCAGUUCAUGCUUUUUUCGAACUCUAUGAAAAAGUGUUGAAGGAUAAGCGAUUUUCUCCAGCCCAGAUAUACAACGCGAAUGAAACCGGAAUUAGCACGGUUCCUCCUAAGAAACAAAAAAUUGCAGCAUAAAAGGGAAAAAGCAAGUGGGGUCGAUUAACUCCGCAGAACGUAGAGAAACAACAUCCGUAAUGAUGUGUAUGUCAGCUACGGGGCAUUAUUUGUCGCCUUUCAUAAUUUUCCUACGGGCAAGGAUGACCGAAGAAUUGAAAAAAGGAGCCCCAGCUGGAACUAAAUUCCGGUGUAAUACGUCAGGUUACAUGACGACAGAAGUAUUUAUCGAAUGUUUUGAUCAUUUCUUGGAAUACAAGAAAAAGUGACGAAGCACCAGUUUUGCUUAUCGUGGAUGGACAUAGCAGUCAUACAAAGAACUUUGAAUUUGCUCAAAAGGUGCAGAUGAACUUUGUAACAGUUCUUGUGCUGCCCUCCCAUUGCAGCAAUAAAAUGCAGCCACUUGACGUUAAAUUCAUGGGGCCAUUUAAGCGUCAGUAUGCAAACGCCUCUGAAGUGUCCUUGUUCCAACACCCAGGAAGAGUUAUUGGUUAUUGGCUGCUUGCACGAGAAUCGCUGUAUCUGGAUUUAGAGCAUCUGGAAUACGGCCUUGCAACCGUCAUAUGUUUCUGGAUGAUUCGUAUGCACCGUCAGAGGUCACGAAUAUACCUGAGUCGCAGCCCGAAGAAAAACCAGUGGCGAUGCAACCUCUUCCCAUUAUGCCAGAGAGACAGAUUGUCGGUGAACAAUCACCUGAGGUAAACACAUCUUUAAUCGAGGUCACUAACAACAGCGUUCAAGAAUCUAGUUUCAACGUUACACCAGAAUACAUUUGUCCACUUUCGAAAGUCAAAGGAUCAAGAAAUUCAAAGAAAAAUUCAAAGGAUACUGCCAAGGAGGUCAGAUUGAUUAAUAAAGUAAAAAAGACAGCAAAACGAACGAAGCCGGAAAAUAUUCCGGAGGAUAUACUUUGUGACCGGUGUGUUUCACUAACUCCAUAAAUGGCUCGGGAUGGAGUAAAUGUUUCAAAUGUGCUACUCGUUUCCAUAAAAUUUGUCAUGAAAGAAAAUGAGUACACGGUGAUCUGUAUAUUGAACCUCUUUACCAAGUAGUUUUACAUAAGUUUUAUUUGCUUUCAUGAAUUGAAAUAGGACUGACAACCAUGAAACGAAAUAUGUAUUGUAACUUUCGUCUCUUCUCAUAGCAUCAAGGCUAUAAAUUGCCAGAAAACCAGACUUUUAUUUUGAACUCGCCGAUCUAAGCAAAUGUGUCUAUCUGUAUUUAUGUUACAUUAUUCUAGAUAGAUUUUCAAGAAGUGUCCAGAUUAAUU